AUGAGAGAAGAUUCCGGUAAAGACACCAAACCUGAGGCUCGCCUACCAAAUACCAGUUUGGUUUUCUAUUUUGCCAAUUCAAUUUUGAUUUCAGGGGGAAAUGGUUGCUGUUUGGGGAGUCAUCCUGCAGCCCUUCGUGAGGAGCCACAGGCCAGACUGUUCUGUGUGUCUGCACUUCCUGGGCAGGACUGGGGACCAGAGAUGAAAGGACAAGGGGGAGACGGUUGCUUCGUUUGUGUUUCUUACCCCUAGGAGGAAGUGAUUACCUCGACGUUGAUCUCUGACACCCACGUGUGCCGAAGGUCUAGCAGACAUUACUCCAAUAUUUGCAGAUUGAUUUUUCCCACUGUGAGGGAUUGGUAUUCUUUUUCCAAGUAGCAAAUUUAAAGAAAGUAAUGAGGUUAGCUGUGGGCAUCCUGACAUUGGAGUUCUCUGACAACUGAGCUUCACAACUGAGAAGGAAAGGAGAGGAAGAGACUCCUGGCUUCUGUUUCGCCCGGUGCAGAGUGACAAAACCGAGGCUGAGUUGACUUACUGAACUCCGACCUUGGGUUGCAUGCAUAGGAAAAUUGGGGAGAGCAAAAUGCUCAGUAGCCCCUUCCCAAAAGCCUUUUAAGGACAAAGGAGAAAAUAUGUCCCUGUCUUUCCUCAUAGAAGCAAAUUCUCUCCUGCUGCAGCCCAUGUGACUCUUUUGUAUUGUCCUCUCUACUACUGGAGCGCACUGCUGCCUGCCGCUGAUGGCUUGGUUAAAGAAAUGUGAAGCUGGAAAUUAAGUUUCAUUAUUUUUGGAUGGAAUAGAUUGAGAAAAUAAUUCCAUAGAUCUCUCAUAUGUGAAUCAAGUUCCUCAGCUGGAGAAACAACAGCAACAGCGAACAACAACAUUUUUUCCCCCUUUAUUUGCAUCACUGCACUACAGUCCAUUUUAGGAAUCAGAAGGGACAUGUUUCCCAGAACAGAAAUCAAAACACACUGGGUUGAAGGGAAACAAUGGUAGUGAUUCAGCUCCAACUUCUUAUGUAAAAGUUAUACCAUAUGAUAAUGUAGUUGUACUGCAUAUUCAAUUUUGAUAUGUAACCUUUGAAAUAAAUUGGAAUAUUCUUUUCUGCUACUCUUGGCA
rnacentral:lncRNA from 1 species